ensembl:lncRNA
AGGAGGCCUGACUGUGGUAUUUGUGCCACUAAUAUCUACCUCUUUGCAAGACCCCGAUCAAUGAGUCAUUACAGAGGAAUGGACUCCUUGCGUGUUCAUGCACACCAGUGUGGAGCAAAGCAGCCUGAGUAUCUAAGAUCGACACAGCUCAGAAAACAUGUUGCCACACUCUCACAAGUCCUUAAUUUGAAAAACAACGAACUUGAUCAGGUUGCAGAUUUCCUGGGUCAUGAUAUCCGCGUUCACCGCGAAUUCUACAGAUUACCAGUUCCCACAACACAGCUGGCCAAGAUUUCCAAACUGCUUUUAACACUGGAAAAAGGACAUCUUUCCCAGAUCCAGGGGAAAUCACUGGAUGAGAUCAAAAUAGAUGAAAUUGCAUUAAGUGAUGCUGAAACAAAGGACAGUGAGAGUGAAUCAGAUGAUGAUGACACAGCACUCACAAUGUCGGCGUGUGGCACCAGUGAGCCUGUACAUGCAGUAGCUGAUUCCACAAACACAGCGCAGCUCCAAGACACUGUAGAUUGUGCAGAUGAAGGACCACUCACAAUGCCUACAGCAAGUGAGACUGCUGCUCCCUCUGAAGAGAAAAAUGCUGCUCAAUCCCACAAUUCCCGAAGAGCUCCCAAAAACAUGUGGUCCAAGGCUGAGGUUGCUGCAGUGAUGAGGCAUUUUAAAGACCACAUAAACGAAGGGAAACUAGCCACCAAAAAUGAAUGCAGUCAUUGCAAAUUGGUAGAAGAUCCGGUGUUGGCAGGAAGAACAGUUCAAAACAUAAGAGAUUUUGUAAGAAACAGAGGAUUAACUGCAAAAAGGCAGAAAAAAAUGAAUUAAAAUAACUGUUUAGCCAGAUGUGGUUUUACAUCUUGGUCAGAUUGCCAAUUGUUGUUAACACUGAUGUUCUGUUUAAAGAAAAAAAAAGUUCUUGUUAAAUACAGAAGUAGUUUGUAUUUCAUAAUUUUUACAUUUAAUUUAUUUAGGGUUUUUUUUUGACGGGUUAUAUUUAAAAUAAAAAAUUAUAAAUGCAUAUUUUCUCCCCUUAAUAUUUACCUUUAAACUAUUAAAAUUCAUUUUAAAUGUUUUUAAUUUUUCUGUUUUCUAUAUUUUUAUAUUUCUGUGGGAAGCGUGGGCAUUUUUGUCCAUAGAUUUCUUUUUUUAUUUAUGGUUAAAAUUAAUGUUCAGAUCCAAGAACACUAAUAAAAUGAUGUUCCAGUAA